GACGAACGCUGGCGGCGUGCCUAAUACAUGCAAGUAGAACGCUGAAGGGGGAGCUUGCUUCUCCGGAUGAGUUGCGAACGGGUGAGUAACGCGUAGGUAACCUGCCUGGUAGCGUGGGAUAACUAUUGGAAACGAUAGCUAAUACCGCAUAAUAGUAGAUGUUGCAUGACAUUUGCUUAAAAGGUGCAGUUGCACCACUACCAGAUGGACCUGCGGUGUAUUAGCUUGUUGUUGGGGUAACGGCGCACUAAGGCGACGAUACAUAGUCGAACUGCGAGGGUGAGCAGCCACACUGGGAGUGUGACACGGCCCAGAGGCACAGAGGAGCCGGCCGUAGGGAAUCGUCGGGCAUGGGCGGAAGUCUGACCGAGAAACGCCGAGUGAGUGAAGAAGGUUGUCGGGUCGUAGAGCUCGGUUGUAAGGGAGGAACGAGUGUGAGAGUGGGAAGUUCACACUGUGGCGGUAACUUACCAGAAAGGAACGGCUAACUACGUG
rnacentral:rRNA from 1 species